UCUCUCAACCAAUAGGGUUUCUUAUUGGCUUGGAUCUGGGUGCUGCCAGCUUGUCUGGCUCGCCUUAAAGGAGUUAGCGAGUAUAGCAAUGUCGUCUGGCGUAAUAAGUUUCGCUGGGUUGACGUGUGAAGCACGCUUCUAAUCGCCCUCGGGCAAUUUUUGA
rnacentral:misc_RNA from 3 species